GGGGAGGGGGUGCGGUCCCUCAGCCCAGAUUGCGAGAUAGUGCAGGCCAGGCUGAGGGACCCCACUGGUGCAUG
rnacentral:pre_miRNA from 1 species